AUGCUCCACUCAGCAGCACUUAUAUGAAAACUAGAAAGACACAGUGAAGAUUAGCCGGCCCCUGCACAAGGAUGACACACAAAUUUAUGAAGUGUUUCAGAUUUUU
ensembl:snRNA U6 U6 spliceosomal RNA